rnacentral:rRNA from 1 species
UACGAAGGGGGCUAGCGUUGCUCGGAAUCACUGGGCGUAAAGCGCACGUAGGCGGCUUUUUAAGUCAGGGGUGAAAUCCUGGAGCUCAACUCCAGAACUGCCUUUGAUACUGAGAAGCUUGAGUCCGGGAGAGGUGAGUGGAACUGCGAGUGUAGAGGUGAAAUUCGUAGAUAUGACAUAGAACACCAAUUGCGAAGGUAGCUUACUACGCAGUUAUUGACGCUGAGGCACGAAAGCGUGGGGAUCAAACAGG